AAAGACAAAAAGACCAAAAAAAAAAAAAAAAGAUGUCAGAAUGAAGAGCAUCAGCCUUCCUGUUGUGAUCAGCAGUUAAGAACCCAGUGUUCUCUCUGUGGGGAUGCUGGUUCGAUCCUCGGCCUCACUCAGUGGGUUAAGGAUCCUGCAUUGCUACAAGCUGUGGUGUAGGUCGCAGCUGCAGCUCAGAUGCAACCCCUGGCCCAGGGACGCCCAUGUGCCGCAGGUGCAGCUAUAAAAAGAAAGGAAAAAGAGAAGGAGGAGCAGCACUGUGGGGACACAGGUGGGUCCUCCCCAGGAAAGGAGAUAACGGUGAUGCUGGGGGGGGGUCGUUGUGUUCAUCACCUUCUCCCCCAUUCUCCCUCCUUCCUCGCAGCCAGCAGCCAGCAGCCAGCAGCCAGAGUGUGCUGGUUAAGAGGCUGGACUCUGAGGCCCCCGGAGUAAACCUCUGGACCCCACAUUCUUCACUUUCAUGGGCGGGAGGGGCACAGCGCCCCCCCCCCCAGGGUUAUGUGAGCCUUAGGAGAGGUCUAUAUGAGCCUGCUCAGAAUGACCUGGAGUCAGGGCCGUGUACGUGAGCUGUCACUACUAAGCCGCUAAUAAUCAUUAUUAUCCCUUCAUUAAGCAGAUGCCUAUUAAGCCGAGAGUAAGAGACUCAGCUAAGUAACUUCCCAGAGUUUCACAACUAAGAAUUAUUAGUGCUGGGUCUGGACCAAGUGGGUCUGACUCCAAAAAAAAAUGGGCUCUGAAGGGAAUUCUUUUAAAUUGCACCACACACAUUCCCUUUCUUCUUUCUUCUUUUUUUUUUCCAUUAUAGCUAUAAAAGAAUUAAUUUCUAAAUUAAAGGAGUGCACAGUCUGGUGAAAAGGCAUUUCUAUGACAGGUUAAAAACAAAGUCAUGGGAGCCCAGAGGGGGUACUUACCCAGCUUGCGGGGAGCUGGGAAGGCUUCCUGGAGAAGGUGUCUAAUGAGCUGAAGAGAACAUACAGAAAAAGACUUUCUGGACGCAGCUGUUUUUCUAAAUUACUGAAAGCAGGUCAUUGCCUAGAUCAUAGAGUGCGAAGGUGACAUAUAUGAGGAGAGCACUGCCACCCCUGCUCGUUGUCAGCGAGACAUUGCAUGUGAGGAGGGCUUGGUGAACCAGAGAUGUGUGGGGUUCAUCCUGGAAGCACAGGCGAGUCCCACACAUGUGGGACAAGACUGAGUGUGCGGCUCCCUUUGGGCACGUGUGUUUUUGGCUAAAUCGAAGGUAUCAAAACAAACAUCUUGAUGUUUCAUGCUUCAGUUCAGAUAGUAAAGCCCACGCAGGGGAGCCAUGCCUUUGAAGACGUGUCCUUUGUCUUGCUCACUGCCAUCUUUCUAGAAUCCAAAACAGAACCUGGCACACAGCAACCACUCCACUUACUCGUUGAGUGAAUACAUGCAUUGGAUGAAAAGAUGUGUGUCUUUUAAGAGCACCAUGUGCCAACCUUCCACUAUCUCUUGUGGACUGAUGCUGAUUAGAAAAGUAUUUUUGGCUUACAUCUGAAGGAGCUGACAAGUUAUAUAUUAAUCACUGUUUUGGAUGGUUGUAUAAAUUACUCUGUAGUCCUCCGGAAAUAACACUGCAAUUUUUUUUAAAAAAAUGAGGUAUAUGCACUAUAAUUGGCUGUACUCCAGUUUUAACUCAGAAAGAAGAAGUGGGUCCCUGCUUUGUACUCAGAACUCAACAGGGAACCAGUAAGGGAUGGACAGAAAAACAUGACCCCAUCCCACUGCAGUACGAUGCUGUGGAAAGAUGAAGACCACGUGUGAUCAGAAUAUGCCCCCUCAAAUAUGUUGCUUUGACAUAAAGGUUAUAUGGACGUGAACGCAGUUAAGAAGCAGCAGACACAGGAGGAGACCCCUGCCUUCCCUUUUCUGCCUAAAAUCAGGGCUUGUGUUUUCCUUUGUGAAGGUGUUCUUCCCCCCCCCCUCCCCCCCCCCCCCCAAUAGCCAGAGGAGAAUGACUCUUCAUCACUGGAGACUCUGACCACUGGAUUUGCAUAACAAACCUUAUUAAAAUAACACUCAUCUCCAUUCACCGCCCCCCCACGUAUUUGCCCCUUCCCACGAUUUUAUGCCGAUAAAAGCCAGAAGGAACCCCCUUUACUUUCGUCUUCUCACUCCGAAAUUUAUUAUCCUAUGUUAAAAUGGUAUAUAAGCUCUCAAGCCUAACCGUCUUGGGUUUUUACUUCUUUUCUGUGAAGCUCCCCUGUGCACACACAGUAAAUCUUUUCUCCUCUUAAUGUCAGUUUAACUUGCAGUCAUUGGUGACCAAACCUAAGAGGGCAGAGGACAACUUUUUUCCUCCCUCCACUUGCGUGAAAGAAAGAUGAUAAUUCUCCAGGUGAAGUGCAUGAAAAUGACUAACGGUGGUCUGACUCAUGGAGUCCGAGAUAAGAAUAUGUGAAUAAAUGGAGUGUAAGAUAAAUAACCGAGGGGUAGUUUUUAAUAAAGAUUGAGUGCACUUUCACCUUGGGAACAUAUGCUUAGAAAAUAAUAAUAUAUCAUCAUUUAAAUCUCAUCCAGUCAUAGGAGGAAGGUAUCUUUUGUUCCUGUGUAGCUUCUGGCAAGAUAGUGGUGAAACCAAACAAUCCGAAAGGCAAAUUUUAACAGCUGAAAUGGAUUUUUACUAUUGCAUUUGGAAUACCGCAUCCUUUCUUUUACUGCAUCUCACUUGAUUGUGCUUCGAAGAGAUUGCAUUUUAGAUAAAUUGACGCUUUGUGGCAACUGAGCGAGUCUACGGGCACCAUUUUCCCAAGUGCAUUUAUUUACUCACUUCCUGUCUCUGUGUCCCAUUUGGGUGAUUCUCACAAUACUUCAAACUUUUUCAUUAUUAUUUUAUGCGUUAUAGUGAUCCUUGAUGUUACUGCUGUGAUUGUAUAAGAGAAGACGCCCACAUCGACAGUGAACUUCAUUGAUGAACGUUGUGUGUGUUCUGACUGCCCUGUGACCACCUGCCUUCCUGCCCCCUCUCUCUCCUCAGGCCUGGCUCUUCCUUGAAUCACAACACUAUUGAAAUUAGGCCAGUUAAUAACCCUUCCAUGGCCUCUAAGUGUUCAGGUGAAAUAGUCUCGCAUCUCUCACUUUACGCCAAGAGCUGGAAAUACUUCCACUUAAUGAGGAAGGCAUGUUGAAAGCAGAGAAAGGCUGAAGGCUAGCUUCUUACGCCCAUCAGCCAAGUUAUGAAUGCAGGGGAAAAGUUCUCCAAGGGAAUUAAAAGUGCUGCUCCAAUGACCAUGAGCAUGAUACGAAAGCGAAACUGCCUUCUUGCUGAUGGAGAGAAAGUUUGGGUGGUCUGGACAGAUCGAACCAGCCACAACCCUCCUGAACCUAAAACGUGAGCUAGAGCAAGGCCCUAACUCUUUAGUUCUAUGGAGGCUAAGAGAGAUGCGGAAGCUACACAAGGAAGUUUGAAGCUAGCAGAGGUUUUUACAUGAAGCUUAAGGAAAGAAGCCAUCUCUGUUAACAUAAAAGUCAAAGAUGAAGCCGCACAUGCUGAUGUAGAAGCUGCUGCAAGGUAUCCAGGAGAUCCAGCUAAGAUCGCUAAUGAAGGUGCUUACUCGAAACAGAUUUUCAAUGCCUGGCUUCAAAGCUUCAAAGGAAAAGGCUGACCCUCUUUAAGGGGCUAAUGCAGCCGGUGGACUCGAAGUUGAAACCAGUGCUCAUUUCCCAAUCCGAAAAUCCUGGGACCCUGAAGAAUGAGGCUAAAUCCACUCUGCCUGUGCUCUAUAAACGGAACAAGAAGGCCUGGAUGACAGCACAUCUGGUGACAACAUGGCUUACUGAAUAUUGUAAAACCACUGUUGAGAGCUACUGCCCGGAAAAAAAUAUGCCCUUCAAAAUAUGACUGCUCAUUGACGAUGCACCUGGUCACCCAAGGGCUCUGAUGGAGACGGACAAUUUCACCCCCUGCUAAUCCAGUCUGCAGCCCAAGGAGUAAUGUUCACUUUCAGGUUUUACUAUUUAAGAGAUAACAUUUCGUAAGUCUGUAGCCGCCAUAGAUGGAGAAUCUUCUGAUGGAUGAGGGCAGAGUACAUUGAAAACCGUGAUGAGUGGCUCACCAUCCCAGAUGCCAUCAAGGACGUCGUGACUCAUGGGAAGAGGUAAAAAUAUCAACAUUCACAGGCAUUUGGAAGAAGUUGAUUCCAACCCGCAUAGAUGACUUUGAGAGGUUCAAGACUUCCUUGGAGAAAGUAACUGCAGGUGUGGUGGAUCCAGCAAGAGAACCAGAAGUGGAGCCUGAAGAUGUGACUAAAUUGCUAUAAUCUCAUAUAAAACUUGAAUGUCUUAGGAGGUGCUUCUUAGGGUGAGCAAAGAAAGUGGUUUCUUGAGAUGGAAUCUACUCCUGGUGAAGAUUAUUGAAAUGACCACGAAAGAUUUAGACUAGUGCCUAAACUUGGUUGAUGAAGCAGAGACAGAGUUUGAGAGGAUUGACUCCAAUUUUGAAGGACGGUCUGCGGUGGGUAAAAUACUAUUUGUGUAUUAGAAAUAGUUUCCGAAAGGAGGAGUCCAUCGGUGUGGCAUGUUUCAUUGUCUUGUUUUAAGAAACUGCCCCAGCCACCCCAAGCUUCAGCAGCUACCACCGUGGUCAGUCCGCAGCCAUCAACAUCGAGGCAAGACCCUCCGGCAGCAAAAAGACCACCAUUCACCAAAGGCUGAGAUGAGGGUCAGCAUUUUUCCACAAUAAAGUGUUUUUAAUUAAGGCAUGUACAUUGUGUUUUUAGACAUAGGUUUUUGCACUCUUAAUCGACUACAGUGUAGCGGAAACAUAACUUUUAUAUAUGCACCGGGAAACCGAAAACCUUGUGUGCCUUGCUUUAUUGCAACAUUUGCUUCAGUGUGGCAGCGGUCUGGAACGGAACCCACAAAAUCUUCCAGGGCCUAGAGGAGUCCCCGGUGCAGAGUGGGCACGCAACAGAUUGCAAAGGAAUGAAUUGAGUGAAGGACAGGUCGUUCAAACGACACACCUUCAAAAAUGCUUCCUAUAAAAUGCAUUCUGUUGUCAGCUUGUCGUUUUUCAUUCAUUCAUUCGAUAAAUAUUUAUUGAGCAGUUGCUGUGUAUCAAGCGCAGGAGAUGUGAUAUUGAACAGAAUGAUUCCUGCCCUCCUAGAGUUUAUAAUCUAAUGAGAAGACAAAGAAAAAUCCAACUGGUUUAGUCAACUAUGUAAAUGUGUUUAAUACUAUUGAACAAAAGGCCUCUUUUCCAAAUGUCCUCAUUUGCCAAAAAGGAAACGCGUUUAUUUCAAGAAACAGGUGCCAGGCAGUAUUCAAUAUAAUGUGGAAAUACGCUCCUUUGUCAGACUUGUGCUGUGUGCUGAAAUUUAGACCAUUGAGAAAAGGAUUCCGGCUGCGUCAGAGUGAAAAGGAAUUGCAUUUCAGUAGGGAACUCUGGCCUUGGCAUUUCUGAGUAAACAAGUUUACAAAGGCAUUCAAGUGCAUCAGAAUUUUGAUACCACCCUAAAUUAUCUAAGCUUUUGAUAAGCAACAAGAUGGGAACGCGAGUCCUUUUGCACCUCUGAAUGUCGCUUUGCUGAGAUUCUAGAUGUUAACCCCGUUCUUUACAAACAGAUGCUUUUAAUCAUAUCUUUAUCAAAAUCAAGGACGUAAUUAUUAUACAGAAGCAAAAAUGAAGCCACUGCAUUUGAUAGAGGAGAAAGGCAAUGAGACCCCCCCCCCUUCCCCUCGAGAAUCAAUGAAAGCAGCAGGAUCCUCUCCCAGAAAAAUGUACCUGAGCACAUACACACAAAAAUCUUUGCAUGACAGUCUUGGGAAGGAUAUGAGUCCCUACCUGGGACUUCUCUCUUCCUAAACUCUUUCCCCCGUAAGCCAAGUUCUGGCAACUGGUGAAGGAUUGGUUUGAUUUUGAACGCCACACCGUCAGCAGUUUCUUUCAUCCUGAAUGACAGCAGAUAAAAUGACCACAGCAAUGACCAAUCGCUUCAAGCAGGAAGAAGCCAAGAUAAAAGGAGAGAAGAGCAGAGGAGACUCUGGGAGAACAGGAGAGGCGAGAGCGAAUGUGGGAGUGGAGAGGAAGCAGAGAGAGAGUCAGAAGCAGGCAGGGGGGCGUGGGGAGCCCUCCCUUCCCAGGCCAGAAGGACCACUUUACUCCCUCAGCUCUUGCUGCCCCUCUGGCUCCCCGAAAGGUCACCUGUCCGGCUCUCCCGGCCUUUCCAUCCUACACCUGCAGAUUCUCCUCGCUCUGCUCUCAGUCCAGCUGCCUCCUGCUAAGGAGCGUGGCACUUCUCUGCUUCUGCACACAACAGAUGGUUUUCUGCUCCUGCUGCCUCCAUUUCUUCACGAAGCCAUCCCUUUCUUACCCAGGAAUUGGAUUUCUACCAGGUCUUGGGGUUUCUCAUCAAGAAGGACCACGGUGAAAGAUAAAAUAUUUUUUCCCAUCUUCAUUUCUUUCGUACAGUUACUCACCGUUUCCCUUAAAACUCUCUUCUACCUUGUUUUCUGGGUUCGUUUUAGUGAUUUUUUUUUCUGUGGGUGCUUCUUUUUUUACUUGCUUUCCAUUUCCUUUUUUUCCCUCCAAAUCUGAACAGUCCCCGAGUGUAGCUGGCACUUUUCUGUUUUCUUUACACUGCCUCCAAGAGGAAACUGUGGAGGAUAAUGACAUAGUGGAGUGUGGUAAGAAACACAUGGGUUUCAGAAACAGAAAAAAAAAAAACCCAAAAAAACAAACAAUCCCCCCCAAAUUCUGAUUCUAAUAUCACUGCUGUGCAACAAUGAACAAGUUAUUAACCUCUCUGAGCCUCUGCUUCUUCCAUCUGAAAAAAUUUGAGGACACUAGCAUAUCCCUAAAAUUCUUGCGAGGAUUAAGAUUUGUAAGAAAGUGCUUGUCAUACUCUUUUAUUGAGCACCCAUGGCACAGGAAGCUGUGCCACAGCAGUGACCUGAGCCACAGCGGUGACAACACCA